rnacentral:rRNA from 1 species
AUUGAACGCUGGCGACAGGCCUAACACAUGCAAGUCGAACGAGUGGCGGACGGGUGAAUAAUUUCUGGGCAACUGCCUGAUGGAGGGGUAUAACUACUGGAAACGGUAGCUAAUACCGCAUACCAUCAGAUGUGCCCAGAUGGGAUUCUCGUGUUGGUGGGGUAACGGCUCACCAAGGCGACGAUCCCUAGCUGGUCUGAGAGGAUGACCAGCCACACUGGAACUGAGAAACGGGCCAGACUCCUACGGGAGGCAGCAGUGGGGAAUAUUGCACAAUGGGCGAAAGCCUGAUGCAGCAAUGCCGCGUGUAUGAAGAAGGCCUUCGGGUCGUAAAGUACUGUCAGCGGGGAGGCGUUACCCGAAGAAGAAGCACCGGCUAACUCCGUGCCAGCAGCCGCGGUAAUAC